GUGAAUUGCAACAGGGAUCCGGGUUCUGCCUAUCACACUGGAUAUUGCUUACACAACGCACAAUCAAUUGCAACUGCUGUUUCCCAGGUAAAAAAGGCCGUCCUGGUGAUGAUGGAGCUUCUGGACCAAAAGGAGUAAAGGUAUCUUUUCAUUUGCAGUAUAAUUAAAAUG
rnacentral:lncRNA from 11 species